GGUUGCGAUCAUACCAGCACUAAUGCACCGGAUCCCAUCAGAACUGCGCAGUUAAGCGUGCUUGGGUGAGAGUAGUACUAGGAUGGGUGACCCCCUCGGAAGUCCUCGUGUUGCAACCC
rnacentral:rRNA from 1 species